rnacentral:rRNA from 1 species
CCUACGGUGGGCAGCAGUGAGGAAUAUUGGUCAAUGGACGGAAGUCUGAACCAGCCAUGCCGCGUGCAGGAAGACGGCUUUCUGAUUUUUAAACUCCUUUUGUACAACAGUAAACCUGCAUACGUGUAUUCAGCUGAAAGUACUGUACGAAUAAUGACCGGCUAACUCCCUGCCAGCAGCCGCGGUAAUACGGAGGCUCCAAGCGUUAGCCGGAUUUAUUGGGCUUAACGGGUGCGUAGGCGGAUUGAUAAGUUAGAGGUGAAAUGUCCGGGCUUAACUCGGGAACUGACUCUAAUACUGGUGAUCUAGAGAGUAGGUGCGGUAGGCGGAAUGUAUGGUGUAGCGGUGAAAUGCUUAGAGAUCAUACAGAACACCGAUUGCGAAGGCAGCUUACCAAUCUAUAUCUGACGUUGAGGCACGAAAGCGUGGGGAGCAAACAGGAUUAGAUACCCGGGUAGUC